rnacentral:lncRNA from 1 species
CCUCCAUGUGACAGAGCUGGGCUUAUGCCUCAUUCCCAGCAGAUGACCAAUAGUGGGAAAUCAAAUAGAAUUUAGUUGUUAUCUCAGACAAGUUUUAACCCCUGGAACUGGUUUCUCAGUUGACUUUAGAGCAUCAGGGAUACUUUUAGAGCCUGACACUGUGGUUUAUGGGAAGUAUGUGGGGUGGAGAGAGACUCUUGUCUCUCCUUAUGCUUCUUCUCCCUUGAGAAAGCUCCUCCCACUCCUCCUGGCCCUGGUUUUGGAAGAGACUGUGCAUCCUCAAAUCCUCCAGCGUGGGAGAUGACUGAGAUGAUCUUUUCAGGGGUUCAGAACUCAGGGACACUUUAUCACUAAGUUGCAUACGUCCCCAGCUCUUUUAAAACUUUGAGACAGGGUCCUGCUAAAUUGCCCAAGCUGCCCUUGAACUUGCAGUCUGGCUGCCUCAGCCUCCUGAGUAGCUGGGAUUACAGGCAUGGGCCACGAGCCCUGCCUUGAGUGCAGGUGGAGGGCGAACUUGAUCCUGUGAAGGCAGCAUUUGAUCCAACAAAAUGGGAGGGCAGGUCAGUGUGUGUGAAAAAGGUGUUUUUAAGGACAACUAGUCUGGGAGCAACGCGUCGGCCGAGGGAGACCACUUGGAGGCAUUCACAAGAAACCAGGCAGACAUCAGGUCGCAGUGCUGGAGUGUUAAGAGGAAAACUAGAAACCAACAGCAAGAGGAGCUAGAAAACUAGAGAAGCAACAGUGAGGAGCCAGAGGGCUGCACUUCCUUUCUCAAGACCCAGAAACAACGGAGCGAGACCCAGAUUCCUGGAUCCACUGUUCCGGCUAUGGAGCACUCCUGGAAAACUUCCGGAUACGACGCUCUUCUUUUAGAAAGGCCUCUACGGGUCGGAGAUUUAGCUCCGUGGCACCGCGCCUGCCUGGCAAGCUCAAAUUCCCGAGUUCGAUCCCUGGUACCAAAAAAAAAAAAAAAAAAAAAAGAGCCUUUAAGACCCUUACACGAAUCUCCAAAGCCCUGUUAGGAUCUCCGCCUUUCAGGCUAAGGACUCCAAGUGCAAAUAACCUGCUUUUGCUCCCGUUGCCAGGGUAACAGCCACAAAGUCAAUUCGGCCACCGUAACUGUUCCCAGAAUGCCGCGCGCCUUCACGCUCUUCCAAGGUCCGACUCCUUCCAGAGACCCGUGUCAGUUGGUCUCGCGAGGGUUGCUGGCAGGAUGUUAGAAUUGGCAGACUUGAGCAUAUUUUUGGGAAGGACAGUAAGGACUGUUCCCCACCCCCCCCAACUUUGCAAGCAAUUAGAAGGCGAAGGAAAGGGCAUAAUCUCACGGAAUUUUUGUUGAUUCUUAAUCAGUGGAUUAGAUGUUAUUAGAAAAAUGGAAAGGUGAUGUAUAUUUUAAGUAACCUGAGUUAGCCAUUCCACAAUGUAUACAUAUUUUAAAACAUGUUGUAGAUCAUAAAUAUAUAUUUUAUUUGUAAAAAAAUAAAAUAGCGUUUAAAGUUAAAAAGCUGAGCCCAGCGUGUUGAUAUACACCUGUAAUCCCCAGACUCGGGAGGCUGAGGCAGGAGUAUCACUGUGAGUUCGAGGUCAACCUGGGCUACAUAGUGAGUUCAAGACCAGCUUGAACUACAUAGUAAGACUCUGUCUCAAAC